AUUGAACGCUGGCGGCAUGCCUUACACAUGCAAGUCGAACGGCAGCGGGGGAGAAGCUUGCUUUUCCUGCCGGCGAGUGGCGAACGGGUGAGUAAUACAUCGGAACGUGCCCUGGAGUGGGGGAUAACUAGUCGAAAGAUUAGCUAAUACCGCAUACGACCUGAGGGUGAAAGUGGGGGACCGCAAGGCCUCAUGCUAUAGGAGCGGCCGAUGUCUGAUUAGCUAGUUGGUGGGGUAAAGGCCUACCAAGGCAACGAUCAGUAGCUGGUCUGAGAGGACGAUCAGCCACACUGGGACUGAGACACGGCCCAGACUCCUACGGGAGGCAGCAGUGGGGAAUUUUGGACAAUGGGCGAAAGCCUGAUCCAGCAAUGCCGCGUGUGUGAAGAAGGCCUUCGGGUUGUAAAGCACUUUUGUCCGGAAAGAAAUGGCUCUGGUUAAUACCUGGGGUCGAUGACGGUACCGGAAGAAUAAGGACCGGCUAACUACGUGCCAGCCGCCGCGGUAA
rnacentral:rRNA from 1 species